rnacentral:rRNA from 1 species
UACGGAGGGUGCAAGCGUUGUCCGGAUUUAUUGGGUUUAAAGGGUGCGUAGGCGGCCCGGUAAGUCAGUGGUGAAAGCCUCCAGCUCAACUGGAGAACUGCCAUUGAUACUGCCGGGCUUGAGUACAGACGAGGUUGGCGGAAUUGAUUGUGUAGCGGUGAAAUGCAUUGAUACAAUCAAGAACUCCGAUUGCGUAGGCAGCUAACUAGGCUGUAACUGACGCUGAGGCACGAAAGCGUGGGGAGCGAACAGG